rnacentral:tRNA from 1 species
GCUCGGAUGGUGGAACUGGUAGACACGCAAGGUUGAGGGCCUUGUGGGCGUCUUGCCCAUGCGAGUUCAAGUCUCGCUUCGAGCA